UCUACGGGUGGCUGCAGUGGGGAAUAUUGCACAAUGGGCGCAAGCCUGAUGCAGCCAUGCCGCGUGUGUGAAGAAGGCCUUCGGGUUGUAAAGCACUUUCAGCGGGGAGGAAGGCGUUAAGGUUAAUAACCUUGUCGAUUGACGUUACCCGCAGAAGAAGCACCGGCUAACUCCGUGCCAGCAGCCGCGGUAAUACGGAGGGUGGAAGCGUUAAUCGGAAUUACUGGGCGUAAAGCGCACGCAGGCGGUCUGUCAAGUCGGAUGUGAAAUCCCCGGGCUCAACCUGGGAACUGCAUUCGAAACUGGCAGGCUAGAGGCUUGUAGAGGGGGGUAGAAUUCCAGGUGUAGCGGUGAAAUGCGUAGAGAUCUGGAGGAAUACCGGUGGCGAAGGCGGCCCCCUGGACAAAGACUGACGCUCAGGUGCGAAAGCGUGGGGAGCAAACAGGAUUAGAUACCCGAGUAGUC
rnacentral:rRNA from 1 species